rnacentral:rRNA from 1 species
AGAUUGAACGCUGGCGGCAUGCCUUACACAUGCAAGUCGAACGGCAGCGCGGGGCAACCUGGCGGCGAGUGGCGAACGGGUGAGUAAUAUAUCGGAACGUACCCUGGAGUGGGGGAUAACGUAGCGAAAGUUACGCUAAUACCGCAUACGAUCUAAGGAUGAAAGUGGGGAUCGCAAGACCUCAUGCUCCUGGAGCGGCCGAUAUCUGAUUAGCUAGUUGGUAGGUAAAGCCUACCAAGGCAUCGAUCAGUAGCUGGUCUGAGAGGACGACCAGCCACACUGGAACUGAGACACGGUCCAGACUCCGUACGGGAGCAGCGAGUGGGGAAUUUGGACAAGU